rnacentral:rRNA from 1 species
GACGUAGGGCGCGAGCGUUGUCCGGAUUUAUUGGGCGUAAAGAGCUCGUAGGCGGCUUGUCGCGUCGACUGUGAAAUCCCGCGGCUCAACUGCGGGUCUGCAGUCGAUACGGGCAGGCUAGAGUUCGGUAGGGGAGACUGGAAUUCCUGGUGUAGCGGUGAAAUGCGCAGAUAUCAGGAGGAACACCGGUGGCGAAGGCGGGUCUCUGGGGCCGAUACUGACGCUGGAAGAGCGAAAGCCGUGGGGAGCGAACAGG